UACGUAGGGUGCAAGCGUUGUCCGGAAUUAUUGGGCGUAAAGAGCUCGUAGGCGGUCCGUCACGUCGGCUGUGAAAUCCUGAGGCUCAACCUCAGGCUUGCAGUCGAUACGGGCGGGCUGGAGUUCGGCAGGGGAGACUGGAAUUCCUGGUGUAGCGGUGAAAUGCGCAGAUAUCAGGAGGAACACCGGUGGCGAAGGCGGGUCUCUGGGCCGAUACUGACGCUGAGGAGCGAAAGCGUGGGGAGCGAACAGG
rnacentral:rRNA from 1 species